AGUGGGAUAACUGGGUCAAAUGGUGGUUUCAUUCAGGUUUUCUGAGGAAUCUACAUACUGUUUUCCAGAGUGGUUACACCAAUUUGCAGCCCUACCGGUAAU
rnacentral:pre_miRNA from 1 species